rnacentral:rRNA from 1 species
GACGAACGCUGGCGGCGUGCUUAACACAUGCAGGUCGAACGGAAAGGCCCUGCUUUUGUGGGGUGUUCGAGUGGCGAACGGGUGAGUAACACGUGAGUAACCUGCCCUUGACUUUGGGAUAACUUCAGGAAACUGGGGCUAAUACCGGAUAGGAGCUCCUGCUGCAUGGUGGGGGUUGGAAAGUUUCGGCGGUUGGGGAUGGACUCGCGGCUUAUCAGCCUGUUGGUGGGGUAGUGGCUUACCAAGGCUUUGACGGGUAGCCGGCCUGAGAGGGUGACCGGCCACAUUGGGACUGAGAUACGGCCCAGACUCCUACGGGAGGCAGCAGUGGGGAAUAUUGCACAAUGGGCGGAAGCCUGAUGCAGCAACGCCGCGUGCGGGAUGACGGCCUUCGGGUUGUAAACCGCUUUCGCCUGUGACGAAGCGUGAGUGACGGUAAUGGGUAAAGAAGCACCGGCUAACUACGUG